CAGGUUGGUCGGACGGUCGCGGUCUUGCUUGCAAGAUCGAGGAAAGUCCGCACUCCACAGGGCGCGACGCCGGGGAAACCCCGGGGUGAGGUAACUUGCGGGAUCGGGCCACAGAAACAAACCGCCUGCCGUUCAGGUGGGCAUGGGUGAAAUGGUGGUGUAAAAGACCACCAGCGUCCGCAGUAAUGCGGCGGCUGGGCAACCCCCGUCGGGAGCAAGGCCAAGCAGGGAUGAGGAACUGCCCGUUCCGUUUGAAUCCCGGGUAGGCUGCACGAGCUGCCUGGUAACAGUCAGCCUAGAGAGAUGACCGUCCUUCGCGAGACCGUCCGUUCGCGGAUACCCUUGCGAGGACAAAAUGCGGCUUAUAGACCGGCCUGAGCA
rnacentral:RNase_P_RNA from 3 species